ensembl:lincRNA
AUGCGCCUGUCAGUCCGGGCGCUGCGCCGCGCUCGGCCCGAGCUGUUUGUAAAUUACCUUAGCCGCGCCUUUAUUGCACCCGAACCUCCGGCGACUGAAAAGCCGCCGCCCCCACCCCAAACUGCGAGCCGCCCUCCCGGAGCACCCGCCUCCCGCCGGCCUGGCUGUGAUGGCAGCGCUGGCCCGGAGGUCUCGGGCUCUCCAACCCGGGAUUUUGCGCCCGAGAAGGGCGGCAAGAGCACAGCCGGGGAGUUAUGCAGCCGCCGCGCGGGCCAGUCUGUUCAUCUCUCCACACCUGAUACUGGUCUGCAAGACAGGAUUGCAAGGACAACCCUGCUCCUCCCAUCUCCCAGUCCCUCAGGAACAGCAGAAUUCAGGAUUAUUGUGAGGUUGCCAGGAAGACUCCCAUCCUAUUCUGAGCCCAGAAGCAGAGAGGAAGAACAGACAGAAGGAGGAGAGAGAUGGGCCAGUAGGAGUGGCAGGAAAUACACCUCUUCCCCAGUAGCCCAGGGGACUAUGAAGAGGAAUCCUUGUCUUCUGCCGCCGCCUCCUCCUCUUCCUCCGCCUCUACGCAUUUGUUUGUCUUGAUUCGGUGCCUUGGGCUUCCGGAGGCCAGCCUGCUGGGGACCAGGCAGGCUGGGGUGUCUUUGCAGAGGCAAGUGAGAUGGACUGAUGGCACCUGGACCCCAGACAGCUCCACCACUGCCCGGCAGUGUAUUCUUGGGUAAGUCUCUUAACCUCUCUGAGCCUUUACGGGGCAAAGGUCAAGAAAUUUAGGGAGAGUGAUGGAUGAGAGACUGUCAUUCGAUUUGUUUGGGAAAAGGGGUUGCCUGCCUUGGGGCCCGAGGAAGUGAGUUUCAGGAGAAUACUAGGUCCGAAACGACCAUUUAUUUUAACGAAUAUUUUAAGAGCAGCUGGUAGCUGCUUAUUUUUCUUUUUUACAGCUGAUGGGUUCCCAGGCAUUAGAAGCUUCUCCAGUCCUCACUACAUCUUGGUUUUACCGAAGAGGAAACUGAGGUUAAGACUGUGUCUUGCUGGUCAACUGCACAGGUGGGAUUCGAACCUGCCUCCGAUAAGGAGGCGCUCCUAAAUUUGAGCCAGGCAGCCUCCCUUGGACUGGCAAAUCGAGCCCUCACAGGGCGGGCCACCACCUUUGCGAGGAGGGGUUGGGCUGAAUCGCUAAGCAUUCUUUUUUUGUGUACCGGAAAAGCUUUGAAAUUUUUUUCAGGUAAACGAUUUUGGCCGCUCCCCGGGAAGGAUGGAAAGGACACGCAGGGUGGGGGACCUCCAGCUUGUUGAGGGAGAGCCCCCUAAGAGCGGGACAGGGAGGGCAGCUCUUCUUCGAAGCAGAGCCCAGGUUGAAGCCUUCGCACCUGGAUUUUUCGAGUUUAUCCAUCUGCUCAGUCUGUCCUGUGUAGCCCACGUCUUCAGAAGACCAGGUCUUGGGGGGCGGAGGAUAAGGCACAAGGCCCACACCAGGGUACAGGUGUGGCCAGACGCCCGACUCUUUCACCCCCUCCAGGGGCGCCUCUCUGAGGGAAGGUCCUCCUAGCGGCAGAGAAAUUGGCUGGGGGGAGUGGAGGGAGGCGGACGGGGACUGCUGGCUGGGCAAGGAAGGCUGGAAUCCAGGCUCCCCAGCCACCCCAUCCCAAGCUCCCGCUGCAAGGUCGCGGCAUGGCAGCCCCGACAGGCCACGCGUCCCUCGACACAAGUCCCAUUACAUUGUAUUUAUGUUUCACUUUGUUUUUUUUUUCCUCCUCUCUUAUUAUUGUCUCACUCUGGGGGAGGCAAAAGAUAUAAUAUAUUCAUCUUUAUUAUACCAAAUCUGUGUGAAGCAUUUAAUAAAACGCUGUUUCCACACAGCCAGGGAUUAGUGUGAGCUAUUCUUAAGUUAAUGCUCGGGUACGGAGGGCGCCUCCGCCGCAACGCCUGCUGCUGGCGGCCGGGGGGAAACGCAGGCCCUGGGUGCUGCGCCCGCGCCCGCCCCCAGCGCACGGGGCCCUUACCAGACCGCGGUCUCUCAGUGGCCCCUCGGGCCCCAGCCUGGGGGAGGGGCUCCGAAACACGCUCACUCCAGCGUUUCUAACUCGCUGCGGGCCUCGGUCUGCGACUAUGAAAAUGGGAAGAGAAACCCUAUAGCUGCUUGCGUCUCAGGGUUCUGUCUUGGGAGGCUGAAGACACCGCGGGGGUAAACAGGACUUUAUAAGCUGGAAUGGAAAAAGGAGGAUUUGUCAGGACGAGGGUUGAUGGGGGACAGAGAGAAACAAGGAGGCCACAAAAAGUGGUUCUAGCCAAAAUAAACCCCCAGGCUGGGGAGCAGACUGCAACUCCAGUUUGAGCAGAGGCCAGGUUUUGGCCUGCCUGGGCCUCACCCUGAGCCUGAUGAACGUGACUGACCGGAAUCAGGAUUUUUUUUUUUCCCCUGGAGUCAGGAUCUUGGCAUGUCACAGUAGGUGACAUGGUCCUCCCUGUAGGUAGAUAACAGUCUUUGAAGUUCAGGUUACAGCUAGCAAAUUGAGACUCAGAAGUUUAAGUGGCUUGUUUGAGGAACCCAGCUGGAAAGUAGUACAGCAGAUCUACCUGUCUUUAGACUCCAUUUCCCCCUCCCCUCAGCCCUCCUGCUUGCCAGCUCUCCCCUCAACGUCCCCUCAUCCCAGUCCUCCAGAGUUGUCCGUGGCAUGUAAGCUUUCCCAUUCUGUUUUAUACACACACACACAUCCCCUACCUGGGAUACCCGUGAGAAGAAGAAACAGUUACAUGACUUUCUUAUCCAGGCCCACUGCUCAGUAGCUUCCCUGGUGGCUCAGAUGGUAAAGAAUAUGCCUGUAAUGCAGGAGACCUGGGUUCAAUCCCCCAGGGAAGAUCCUGGGUCUGGAAGAUUCCCUGGAGAAGGAAAUGACAACCCACUCCAAUAUUCUUGCCUGGAGAAAUCCAUGGACAGAGGUGCCUGGUGGGCUACAGUCCAUGGGGUUACAAAGAGUCGGUCACGACUGAGUGACUUUCACUCUCAAUGUACUUUAGAACCCACUUGCCUCUUUAUUUUUCCGGCACAGAUUUGGGCACACCAGCCUUCCUUUGGUCCCUUAUUCCCUUGUUCCAGGGCUGUGGGAAAGAGUUGGGGGCAACCAGGCCAGGCCAAAAGGAGGUGUUGUGCAGAAAAGAUUGGGAUGGGCAGAUAAGUACCCCUAGUUGGAACUAACACCCUCCUAGAAUUCUCAGUCCCCAUCUGCCCCUAUCACCCCCUCCUGUAGGCUUCUGGUAGGAGCUUCUUUGGAGGCUAAGGGUACUUGAGAAAUCUGAUAGUUCCCAGCCUGGGGCUGGCUGGGGAAGGGUACCCACUCACUGUGUGGUAGGGCUGGGACUGGGAUGAGGCAGAUAAGGCACUUAGGGCACACAGUUUAAGGAAGUACUUGUUCUCAGUGUUGUGUACAACCCCUGAUUGUCUCAUCCUAGUCCCAGCCUCUCUGUGACCCAGGGGUGGAAUUACUACAAUUGCAGUGGGGACAGAGAAUGAUUUCACCUUACCCUUAUGAAUGAAUAUGUAGAAGUGUAAACAAUGGAAUGAACUGCCGGGGGUGGGGGGAGGGCAGUGAGCUUUCCCAACAGGUGGAGUAUGCUUCGAACCAGCUGGAAGGCUAAUAAUCAGUCUUAUUGCCAUCAUCAUAUUCUUCAUCAUUUUAUUGGGUUGGCCAAAAAGUUCAUCCCAGUUUUCCCAUAACAUCUUACAUAAAAACCCCAACAAACUUUUUGGCCAACUCAAUUCCAUCGUGUACUUUGUGCCAAGUAAGAGCUUUACCCACGUUAUCUCAAGCAAUGUAUUAAAUGUCUUUUGGCUGAGGAUGGGUAUUGAAGUCUCUGACCUUCUGGAUCCUUUCCAUCUAACUGUCUAUUGUGCACAAGAUAAAGGACACUUCUGUUGAUUUUGGUUAAUUAUAGUUCAAAUUAUAGUUAUUAUUUGAACUUGUCUUGUGGCCUUUCCUAAUGAGUAAGCUCAUUGAGGGCAGGCACUAUGUCUAAUCUCAUUUUUUUAAAACUAUUCCUUCUCCUCCAUGAUCCACACAGAACUAAGCAUGUAGUAUGUAUUUAAUAAAUGUGUACUAAAAAAAACACAUGAGUAAUCAAAAGCUGUCUGUCUACCUGGCCAUUCGCCUUCCAUGCUGUGCCUAUCAGAGCUAUGGAGUGGCCCCUGGGAGAGCCAGUACCACCUCUGCAGUCAUUGUCCCCCUUUCCCUGCAGCUGAGCUGAGUUCAGGCUGGCACUUAUAAAGCCUCCUCCCCACUCACACUUCCAGCUCUAUUCUAGUCUGUGGGCAAGACAAAGGCCAGCCCAGCUUCCACCUGUGCAGGGGAGUCC